UUAAUUUAUUUUCUCGUUUACUCGACGCAAAGAUGCAGAGUUGUGUGGUCCUCCGAGGGCGCCGCGAGGCAAUCCCCCGAGGCAACAAUGGACGGUAAUCAAAGGGUUGGAGGUCGGGCCGUGAGGCCCUUCACUCGGUAAUGAUCCCUCCGCAGGUUCACCUACGGAGA
rnacentral:misc_RNA from 1 species